rnacentral:rRNA from 1 species
UGGUGGAGUGAUUUGUCUGGUUAAUUCCGUUAACGAACGAGACCUCCGCCUGCUAAAUAGUGCGUCGAUGGGGCUUCCAUCGGUCGAACUUCUUAGAGGGACGAUGGGUGUUCAACCCAUGGAAGUUGGAGGCAAUAACA